CGCGAGGGGCGGGCUCCGCUCUGUGGGGCGGCGUGUCCCUGCGGGGAAACAGCCGGGGACCGGGACCGGGACCAGCGCGGGGGCGGGCGGCUGCUCUUCGUCCGGGCGGCGUUGCGGAACCGGGGAGCCGGUUUCGCCGCUGGCCCGUCCCGUCCCUGCCCAUCGCUCCGUUCCAUGCAUGACAUUUCUCAGCAAUGAAAAAGUCACCAACGCCACCAUCCCCAGCCAAACAGAAGCUUUAAGGGCAAGACGCUUCUCCUCAAAGUGGGCCACUGCCUGAUGGAGGAUGUGGCACCAGUGACAUAUAUACAUAUCACUCUCAAGCCUCCCAAAAUCACACCAACUGGUUCCAUUUAAGUCUGCUUUAAUGGCCCAGCAUUCACCAUAUACCAAUGUCAUAUGGAGUUCAGAUGGAGAACACAGUAGAGGAGCAGGGAAGAAGCCAAGCCUUGCUCUCCUGAGUUACUUCUCUACGAAAGCUCAGUUCAGACACUGCAACUGUAUUAUUAUUUUUAUGAAGUACCUACUUCUCCUGGUUGAGAUGAAUCUUUGAUCCAUCUUUGUUAUAUGAGUGGUUGAUCUUCGCAGCGGUGUGGAGCAAAAAUAUUUUCCAUCCAACGACUGUAACCUUGUCUGCUUUUCUAGCUGCACUGAUGGAGGCCCAAGAUCAUGACUCCUGACCAGGGGCACACAGUAAAUAGAUACCACUGCAUUAAUGCCCCAAUGUGCUAGCACCUACAGCAGCUGUCUGGGGGUCUGUACUUUCUGCUUGGAACCUGCCUCCUGCCCUCACCCUGACAGUCCAGCCUUGCCAUAAAAUGUCUUCAACUGUAAUCCUUGAGUUAACAGCUGUGGAAAAGCAAACAUUCUUCCCUUAUUGCUCAGCCUGCAAGGAGAUGUGCCAGGGACUGACAAGUUCUCUGCCUGACCGUGGAUGAGGAAGAUAUAUUGAUAGUUCAUGGCUAGGUGGGGAUAUGGAGAACUGGAGCCAAUAGGCCAAAUCCUGUUCACGGAGGAGAGCCAUUGCCCUCCUCUCAUGGGACCAGCUGAAAAGAGAUGCAUCAGACUAUGCACCUACUGCAACAGAGAGGCUCUUUCUACUGCAGUGUCCAAAAUACAAGGGAGUACACAAUAUUUCCUCAAAUUACCACCAAUUCAGAGAGACAUUGAAGAGCAAUGGGAAAAGCUCUGCUUGACCCUGGGAGAAAGGAGAUGGCACUAUAUUAUGUACCAACGGACUACCCGAUCAAAUAUAAGCAGUCGUGACAGACAGACAGGAUCAAACCCCAAAUCCAGUGUAUCCAUCCUGGGCAGGUCAUAACCACAUCUGACAACACGGGGCUGAUGUUCUUAUUCUUUUACCCUAUGUGAAGCUGGUCAAGCCACAGUUUAAUUAAAUUGAAAACUGAGUUGGUGCUCUGGCUCUCCCCUCCACCCACCUUUUCUACGCCACAAAAGAAUCCAGCAUCUGCGGAGUGAAGUGCUUUCAACAAUAUUAUGCCUAUGAUUGUUGCUCACAACUCAUGUGGAUGGCACUGGGAGCUGCAUGACCGGAUCAUGAUAGACUAUGGCCUCAUGUUUGGAAGUGAGGCAGCAAAUAUGAAUAAAACCAAAUAGCUUUUGUGGUCGGCCAGUGGAAGUCUCCAGUUCAGCCACCUGGCUGCCCUCUGAAAGGAGAAAAUAUUUCCCUAUGAGGUCACAGAGCUCUGCUGUCUUUCCCUGAAACAUAUGUCUACUCCAUAUUCAUCCUUCUCCAAAUGUUGUGCAGCCUUUGGAGCAGUUCCAGACUAAUCAGAGUCAGAAUUUCCCUUUUCCUUGCACUGCUUUAGUCACACAUGACUGUCAACACAGUUUCCAAGAAGCUAUUUUCCAGGAUUAUCAUGCUAAAAAUUUAAGCCAGUGUUUCAGCUGCUGCUUUUCCAUAUUCCAAGUUUCUCUGGCUUGAAGAGCUUCCAGAAUUGUUGCUGCUGCUGCCACCAAAGCUCAAAUAUGGGACAGAAGCCAAAAAUAAGGUUGAGGAGGAAUAACUGGAAGGAAGCUUACAGUCAAGUUCAAUUAAUCUUUCGCAUACAUUUCUAGCAGAGUGAUGUAUUUGAGAUAAAUUCCCAAUACAAGCAGAUCAAUGAGAUGGAAGCAAUGAUGAAUCAAUGGCUAGGAUGGGAAAGAACUGACACUCCCCAUGCAAUGACAGCACCACAGCCCGAGCAGCCCACUGGCACGGAAUGUUUUCAUUCAAGACCUUGCUGUUUAAGAAUUAAAAUGAGGGGCUUUUUAGGCGGUGGGGUACACAGCAGGUUAACUUUGGUUACUCUGGCUCAUUCCAGUGGCGAGAACAAGAAGAAGUUUAAAAAACAACACCUCCCGCCCUUUUCUAAACUAUUCCCAGAGGGAAUGAAAAAAUGCCCACGUACAACUGAAGGCAGUCUGCAAGGGUAUGAGAGUGACCUGACUUUUCUGAAGAACUAACCUGGGGCUCACUCCCCUCAGUCACUUUUUGGCCUACAGCUUUUUAACCACUUGCCAGCAUCGCCUACAGCUGUGGCUCUCAACCAGAGGGACGCAGAAGUCUCCCAGGGGGUACAUCAACUCAUCUAGAUAUUUGCCUAGUUUUAUAACAGGCUACAUAAAAAGCACUAGCGAAGUCAGUACAAAAUAAAAUGUCAUACAAUGACUUGUUUAUACGGCUCUACAUACUAGACACUGAAAAAAUGUAAGUGCAAUUGAUUCAUUUUAUAAUCGUACGGGAAAAUGAGAAAGUCAGCAAUUUUCCAGUAACAGGGUGCUGUGACACUUUUGUAUUUUUAGGUCUGAUUUUCUAAGCAAAUAAUUUUCAGGUGAGGUGAAACAUGGGGGUAUGCAAGAAAUCAGACUCCUGAAAGGGGUACAGUAGUCAGGAAAAGUAGACAGGCAUUGAUCAUUUACACAUACGUUAUUUUUAAUGCAGCACUAGCAUCCUGCAAUGCUCCUGCAUCUUUUCCCUUCUCAAAACUAGGCCCAAGGUUUCCCAAGGGAGUUGUACGAGAAGAGUGGUUCGCAAACUGGGGUUCGCACAACGUUACAGGGGGUUCGCCAGAAAAAUUUCACUCAUGGCAGCCAGAGGACCCCGGGCAUUGGAGGCAGCAGGUGGGACCUGGUUGCAGGGCAGACAGCCCGAGCCCCAGGGAGAGCGAAGCAGGGCAGUUGGCGCUGGCAGCCCGAGCCCCUCCAUCCGCAGGGGAGCCAGCUGCCUGAACCCUAGCGCUCCACACAAGACUGGCAGCCUGAGCCCCCGGCUGACUGGGGCCAGGCAGUUGGGGCUGGCAGCCUGAGCUCCUCCGUCAGCGGGGGAGCCAGCCGCCUGAACCCCAGUGCUCUGCACGGGGCUGGCAGCCCGAGCCCCAGGGAGAGCAGGGCCGGGCAGUUGGGGCUGGCAGCCUGAACCCCGGCAGUCAGCGGGACCUGUAGCCCAAGCUCAGUUGACUGGAGCGGUCAACGGGGUCCAGCAGCAGAAGCCCCACGGAGUGCGGAGGAAAUUUAAACUUAAAUCCCUGGAAAUAUUCAUUUUUAGGAGGGGUUUCAUGAGAUUUCACAAUUUAGUGAAAGGGGUUCGUGGCCUGUUAACGUUUGGGAACCACUGUACUAGACUGGUUUUUCCUGCUUUGGUACCUACUUUGCUUUGGUACCUACUUUGCUUUGGUAGAAAGUAUGUUCUGCUCUGUGCCUCAGACGAUAUGAUGUACUGAGCUCUUUUCUGCUGAUUCAUUGCAAAACGAAAUUGUCAGCUCAUACCCUCAUUCCACCAAGUUCCUUUUGGUUCCAAUCUCUCCUCUUGACAGGGGCCAGCUCCUCCCAUUUUGAAGCUGCAUGCAAGUUCCAUUACCUCCUUUGGUCAGUUUUGCACAAAAAGUUCACCGUAUGUAUCAACUGAUGUUUGCUAGUGGCUGUUAUAGGGAAGUACUAGACUGGAAGUACCAGUUCAUCAGCUGAAGCAUACCACAGGCAGAGGCUUCUAGAGGCCAGAAUGACGUACAUUACACAGAAGUCACCAGUUUAGGCCUCCCUCCCAAAAUUACUCUGCUAGUUGGAUAUUGCCCUUGAUGGGUUCGUAACCUUUGCACUUACUCAUUUAGAUUUCUAAGUAUAAAUUCAGGACCAAAAAUUCACGUAAUUUGUUUCCCAAUGGAAAGCUUUAUUGACAAAUUUCCCCAACAUUCACCUGUAGAGAGAAACAGUUCAAUAUUUAAGCUCCAGCAGUCCCCCAUUUAACUGACACUGUUUUCCCCACAUUGCGGGUAAUUUCAGCCACAAACAAUAAAACCUGGUAAAUGACACUCUACACUCCACCUAUUUCCUAUCACAUCUGCCUUCUAAUUUUUCAUAGUAUGCUUCCCCCAAACACCUGCAAAAUGGGGGAACAAGCGUGGUUAUUGAGGUUUAUGAUCAGCAGAUUAAAAUGUCAAAACUUGCUUCUCUAAAGGGCAAAAAAAAAAAAACUUAUCCGAGAGGAACUCAAACCACAGAAACGAAUUUGAUAUGUAUGUAAGCAAACCUAAAGACCUGAGUAAGUCCCACUUAGCCUCUAAGGCACAGAAUUGCUCACUCUAGGUUUUUAUGCGGAGGCACCUUUGCCUAGAAUAAGAUCAGGCCACCAUUGGGUAACCUUUCAUUCUACGGCUCCUGAGUGAUAGUGUCGGACAGCAGAAUAGCAAAACAUCCAGACGCUUGAGCAAUAAGUUAGUCUCCAGGAUUCUCUGCAAGUACUGUAAACAAAGAUUAUGGGUGGAGAUAUUAGCCAAGAGAAUGUACCAUCAGAUUUAGGACCCUCCAAACUGAACCACCUAUACAAUAGCAGGGUAGAGACAGGAUUCUCCAGUACAGUGCCCACAUUGCUAGAGACAGAGUUUUGUCCUUUUCUAAUCUGGCCACACUGCUAGCUGCCUUCAGAGCUUCUUCCUUAAAGGACGAUGAAGGCAUACACCCAAGAACAGAGAAGCAAGUUUUAUACACUCAGGCAACAGAGUGCACCAAUGAAAUGAACACAAUAACUGGCACAUAGGCAUGCUGCUACUAUUGUAUGAUGCAAAACUCCAGUGCUCCAACCCCAACUUUGUAACCCUCACAUUUCUCUCUAUAUAAAAAGAUUAUAAAACAAAUAAAGCAUAAGGUGAUGUAAGGCUUGCGAUUCAACU